UCCGGGGCCCUUAUUCUGUUUCUCAUCUCC
rnacentral:piRNA from 1 species